UGGGGAAUAUUGGACAAUGGGCGAAAGCCUGAUCCAGCCAUGCCGCGUGUGUGAAGAAGGUCUUCGGAUUGUAAAGCACUUUAAGUUGGGAGGAAGGGCAGUAAGCGAAUACCUUGCUGUUUUGACGUUACCGACAGAAUAAGCACCGGCUAACUCUGUGCCAGCAGCCGCGGUAAUACAGAGGGUGCAAGCGUUAAACGGAAUUACUGGGCGUAAAGCGCGCGUAGGUGGUUCGUUAAGUUGAAUGUGAAAGCCCCGGGCUCAACCUGGGAACUGCAUCCCAAACUGGCGAGCUAGAGUAGGGCAGAGGGUGGUGGAAUUUCCUGUGUAGCGGUGAAAUGCGUAGAUAUAGGAAGGAACACCAGUGGCGAAGGCGACCACCUGGGCUCAUACUGACACUGAGGUGCGAAAGCGUGGGGAGCAAACAGG
rnacentral:rRNA from 1 species